AUUGCUCCUUCAGUAAAUGAAGGAGACUAUGUGAACAGGAAGUCUUUCCACAGCAUUAAUGUACAGAUCAUAUAUGAUGCUGCCAACAUUAUCACAAAUGUGGAAGCCAAGUGGCCAGGCUCUGUCCAUGACUCACAAAUAUUCCGUGAAUGUACACUGAGCACAAAAUUUGGACAUGGAGAGUUCACUGGCUACUUGCUUGGUGAUAGGGGGUAUCCAUGUUUACCCUAUUUGCUUACUCCUUACUCUGACCCUGAACCGGGCCCACAGCAGCGAUAUAAUCUAGUUGAGGGCCAAGGAGCAAAGCCGGGUAACCAUCUAUUUUGUUUUUAUGUUUUUUUGCACAUCUUCUUACUUUUUUCUUUCUGCUAUUAAACUCUAUGUAGACUAAAGAUAUAAAAUUCGGGUCACUGUCUGACCUUCAAGCACUCUCAAGCCCUUGAGUGAAGCUGAAGGUGGCUUUAAAAACAAGUGUAUUCUUCCGUUCUUUGGAUAAAGCUGAUCAAGCUUAUUUAUUUGUUGUUGUUGAUUUAAUUUUUUAAAUCACAAUCAGAACAACCUGUGAUUGUGCCCAAGUGUUUGGUUGGCAGUAUUUGUGAAAUACUUUGUUCAUAACCUCAAAUAGCAACCUGACAGUCAUUGAUAUUACCUGGGAAUCAUAACAAAGGUCCAUAAACAAUGUUGUGCCAUAUCAUUGAUUCAGUGGAUUACUGGAUAAGUGAAAGCUUUAAUCUUGUGUUGAACACAGGAAGAAAAAAAAACAAAAAACGAGGAUCACAAAUAUCCAUGGAAAGCAGUCUGUGUGAUCGAUAUCUAUACAUAAAAUAAUACAUUUCUGUC